UACGUAGGGUGCAAGCGUUGUCCGGGAUUAUUGGGCGUAAAGAGCUCGUAGGCGGUCUGUCGCGUCUGCUGUGAAAACUCAGGGCUUAACCCUGAGCUUGCAGUGGGUACGGGCAGACUAGAGUGCGGUAGGGGAGACUGGAAUUCCUGGUGUAGCGGUGAAAUGCGCAGAUAUCAGGAGGAACACCGGUGGCGAAGGCGGGUCUCUGGGCCGAUACUGACGCUGGAGGAGCGAAAAGCAUGGGGAGCGAACAGG
rnacentral:rRNA from 1 species